GGUAAAAUGGCUGAGGGAAGCAUUAGACUGUAAAUCUAAAGACAGGGGUUUGAGUCCCCUUUUUACCA
rnacentral:tRNA from 1 species